rnacentral:rRNA from 1 species
GACGAACGCUGGCGGCGUGCUUAACACAUGCAAGUCGAACGAUGAAGAAGAGAAGCGCGCACUUCGGUUCAAAUUUCACUUCGGAUUAGUGGCAGACGGGUGAGUAACGCGUGAGCAACCUACCUCUUACAAAGGGAUAGCCUCGGGAAACCGUGAUUAAUACCAUAUGACACAUUCAUAAGGCAUCUUAAGAAUGUUAAAGCUACGGCGGUAAGAGAUGGGCUCGCGUCCCAUUAGCUAGUUGGUGAGGUAACGGCCCACCAAGGCGACGAUGGGUAACCGGCCUGAGAGGGUGAACGGUCACAUUGGAACUGAGACACGGUCCAAACUCCUACGGGAGGCAGCAGUGGGGAAUAUUGCACAAUGGAGGGAACUCUGAUGCAGCGACGCCGCGUGAGCGAUGAAGGAAUUCGUUUCGUAAAGCUCUGUUCUAUGGGAAGAAAAGGACUGUACCAUAGGAGAAAGCCCCGGCUAAAUACGUG